rnacentral:lncRNA from 1 species
AGAACACAAACUGAUGGGGAGGGAAUUCAAGAUGGCUUCCCGUGCCUCAUCUCAGUGAUCCCCACAAAACCUGGAAAGGUAGGGAGGUCUGAUGUCCUCAUCCACACAUGACGGAGACACAUGAGGCCAAGAGGAGCGGAGAGACCUGGUCCUCCCAGAUGUCCUUCCUCCUGUCCACCCAUCUCAACAGCCAGCCCCUCUGUCCGCUCUCCACCUCUCCUCCCGGUCCUCUUCCAUCUCUCCCCAUAUCACCUUGUCCACCUCCCAGCUGGUGAGAACUGGCAGGCCCUGGGGAGAGGAAGAGAGGGAGGAAGGGGAAGGGAGCCUCCCACAGGAGAAUCCAGACUCUCCCUGGGUUCCAUCUUUAGGUGCAGCAGAGGUGACGGGGACUGUGUGUGCUUGCGUUGGACAGCACACAGGUGUGCCUCUGAGAACCCGUGGAGCCAGGCUCAUAGGUCUGGGCCCGCGGUGGGGCCGGCGGUGGCCCUGUGAGCGAAUGCUGGAGGAGGGCUGAUGUGGCUCUGCACAUUCGAAUGAACGUGCGGAGGAAAGGAGACGCACACACCCGGAACAUGCAGCCCUCGGGCACGACUGAGGUCAGUGUGUGGCCGCGAGCCCCGGACUGUGUGGGGUCAGUGUGUGUGCGCGCGUGUGCACGGGACUUUGUGAGCCCGCAGACCUGCCGCUCCUGCAAGAUCCGACACGCAGACACAGCGACCCCUGCUGGCCACACCGCCCCAACCACGGCGCUUGUCAGCCCCAAGCCCUAGCUGGAAGCCUGCCCAAGGGCCAGGCGAGGCAACCUGCAGGAAGCUCAGGGCCGGUAGCCCCCUCUGACUUAGUGCCUUGCCUGCCCCCGCGGGUUUGUCUCCCAAGGGUCCACUGUCCACCCUGCCGUGGCCCCCAUUGGGCUGGAGGAAGAGCCCAUCCUCCUGGUCAUGGCUGUGUCUGUACCUGAGUCUCCUGGAGACUGAGCGGAGAAGGGCUCCCCUCUCUUCUGCGCCCCACCCGGAUAGCGGGGCGGGGAUGCAUUGGGAUAGGCUGCCUCAAGGUGGCCCCAGGGGACUCAAGCAUGAGGGACUCCCUGUGUCCUCCACUCCACCCCCAUCUGGCUAGAGCCCAGACCCAGGACUUGUGGACGACGAGGCGCCACGCUGUGGAUUCGGUGGACGACGUCGCCCUCUGCUGGCCAGAGCUGGCACUUGCAGCCCGGCUCCCCCAGCCCGGGGCAGAGCACUUGUCCUGGGGUCCCCUGGUACCCUGUGGAGAUCGUGGUGGAGGAUGUGGGAUGACAAAGAGGAGAGGCAAUGGGCCAGAGUGUCUCAAGGCACUCUGAGGAGAGACAGAGGUGGAACAGGACAGACCCACGGACCCUGAGAGGAGACAGACAUGCAGACUUCCAGACCUUCAGGGAGAAAGACUUCCUCCCACCUCGGGGACGAAUAUACUGACACACCACUCCCAGGGACAGAGACAUGGACCACAGACACCUAGACCCUCAAAGAAGGCAAACAGAUUCCCAGAGGGACAGGCUCCCUCCAACCACACCGGAAAGAGAAGCAAAUAAACCUUCAGAGGGGACACGUGGGUCCUCAGAGAGACGGAUGAACAGAGCGCGUGUCCCCUCCACGCAGGGAUAGAAGCAGACCCUGGAGAGAGUGACCAUGAGCUUCCAAAGGGGGGGCAGACAGACUGUCCACAGGGACAGACCCACAGGAAGACUCUCCCAACCCCCUCAACAGGGACAGAUAAAUAAAACAUCAGAGAGGACCAGCACGCAGACACCGAGGGGGACGGACACCAAAUCCUCAAGGGAAUUGACACAGAGCCCCUCUGCACCUCCAGGUUCAGUAGAGCCUCUUCCAUAAGCGGAUAGAUACUCAGACUCCCUGUCCCCAGCGGUUCAGGCCAUACAAAGCCACCUCUGCCCCUCUAGCUGAAUCCCAUCCCCUACUGUGUCCCUUUCUCUGUCAGCCACCACUCCGUGGCCCACCCCCAAGCUCUAGACCCACAGAAUCCAGGUCUGGUGAGCUCUGAGCUGCCACUGCUGGGUCUCCAGGCCCUCAUCUCCAGGGAGCCAGGGGAAGGGACAGACUCACCCAGUGAGCGGGGCUGAACCGAUUCAUGACCACCGCAGGGCCAAAAGAGCGGGCUGGGUUCAUGGAGCAGCCAGUGAAGUAGAUCUGGAUAGAGACAGGGCGGUGGAGAGAAAGGCAACAUCCUGGUCCACUCCCACAGAAUCUGGACUCUCUCAAGGUUACACUGCAGUCCAGGGGCUCAGCCAGGUCUCAAACUCAGGCUGGCAACCUCUCCCUCCAAGGAUCCCAGCUGCUUGGUUAACCAUGGACCCUUAACUACG